AACAAAAAUAGAUGAAUCAGCAUACAUGUUUUCUCAAUAAAAUCUUGAUAUGCAGUAAGUCUUUCCCUGCAUCAAUAGACAAAACAAUGUAAAGUUUUUGUUGCUGUUUUUUGAUAAUUUUAGAUUUAAGUAUUAAAAAAACAUUAUUUUGCACAUUGAAAACAUGGCAAUAGCUAGUGGGAAAGCGUUAGCUUUAAAUGAUUUAAAUGCUAAUAGUGUAAAGUACAUUAAUUUUCACAGAGACUGUUCAGAUUUAUAUCCAGCAUCUUCGUACAACACAAAGGAACACCUGUCAUCUGUCAACCUUGUCCAAGCAUAAAAGUGAGAGAUCUGGCAACUCUGGUAAACCUAGGGUCAAUAAUAUUCACCCCACAUUUCCAGAUCACCUGAUGAAAUUACUUCACCCAUCAGUGAAACACCCAAUCUUACGCUUACCCCAUCAGAAUAUCUGAUAUGAG